CUGUUUGAUAAGGCAACGAAUAUCUCAUUGCAGAGAGGAAUGAGGAUCCAUACUUAUUGUGAAGUGGAACUUUUACGCACAAUCCAUGACUUUCAAAUGAGAAGGGCAACGACCACAACCAAUAAGAUAUUGAUGAGUGUUUGCUGAAGCUCUGUCAUCUGUUUGCUUCAUGUUUCAACACCCAGGGCUCAUUCUACUGCCAGUGCUGGCCUGGAUAUAAGGGCAAUGUCUUCCUAUGCCACUUGAGAAUAAUUCAGCAACUACCCUCCAGUUGAUGAACAUCACGCAUCAUCAUACACCUCUGCAUUUGGAUGAUUAUAUCCAUGGCUACAUUCAUAAUCGACCUGAAUUCACUCCUAUUCAGCCAGCUCCAGUGAACUAAACUGUUGUUGUUAUUGAUGGUGAAUGCCAUCCGUGUGGGAAUAAAAACACACACGAGUGUCUGUGAAAAGCAGUGGUAGACCACAUUUUACAGAACACAUUUUACAGAAGACAGACAAAGUGUGUUGAUCCAACAACAUAUAAUACUUAAAGAAGCCCAAGCCCCCAUUAACUGUGUUUCAACAGCACAGAGACAGCCUGCAAAAGAGUCUAAUCACCCACUGAGGCCUGGAGGCCUUCACUCCGCAGUGUGAUGAGAAAGGGCAGUACAAACCAUUGCAGUGCUUGGGCACCACUGGUCCCUGCUGGUGCGUGGACAGUAGCGGGCAAGAGAGAGUUGGCACCAGGACACUGCCUGGCAGAGUGAACACUAACUGUGAUCAACCAGCUGCACCGGUUCCCCGUGCAAAGACUGUGUGCGAACGCUGGAGACUUUCACUCAUGAGUCACUAUAAUGGUCAGCCAUCCUCUCAGGACUACAUGCCUCAGUGUGACGCUUAUGGGAAUUUCCUGCCUGUGCAGUGUUACAGCAACAGUAGUUUCUGCUGGUGUGUCGGCCGCCAAGGCAUGGAAAUGAUUGGAACACGCUCCUGUGAUGAUGUAAAGCCCUCAUAGAGUAAUGGAGCUGGAGGCUGAUGAAUCCCCGCACAUUUUUGUGUAUGUUGAUGAGGCAGGAUUCAACUUGACCAAAGUCAGGAGACGUGGCCGUAAUAUUAUUGGUCACCGAGCCAAUGUUGAUGUGCCAGGCCAGCGUGGAAGGAACAUUACAAUGUGUGCUACCAUAUGUGGGAAUGGUGUACUCAGCCACAUUCUCAUCAUUGGGCCCUAUAACACACAAUGUAUCCUCAAUUUCCUGGAAACUCUUUACAGGAAUCUCAUUCCUGAGAAAGAGAGGGGGUUGGUAAGAAAUUACUUGCCAACGUAUGUUAUAGUUUGGGACAAUGUAAGUUUCCAUCGUUCAAAUACAGUCAGGGAAUGGUUUGUUGCCCACCCAUGUUUUUUGAUGGAGUUUCUCCCAUCACACUCCCCAUUCCUAAAUCCCAUUGAGGAGUUCUUUUCUGCAUGGAGAUGGAAGGUCUAUGAUCACCGUCCUCAUGAUGUCACAUAUUCCCUGUUUUUUGCAUUGACUUUUAUGUUGAAAUUCUUGUUUAGUUCCCAUGUUCCUGUUUCCUGUUAGUUUGUAGUCCUUUUGUAGUUUCAUUUUAUGAUUGGUUUUCCCCGAUUGUUUCCACAGGUGUUCCUCGUUCUCUUGUUUGCCCCUGUGUAUUUAAGCCCUUGUUUUCCCUGCUUCCUUUGUCAGUCUUCACAUGUGUUGUUAUGUUCUGUACCUGGUUCUCUGUGUUACUCUGUUCAUCUUUUGUUUCCAUUAAAAGCUGCUCUUAGAUCCUCCAUCCUUGCCAGCCACGUUACACAUGACCAGUUGUCCUUACUUGGUGCAGUGGAUGCUGGUUGUGAGGAUAUCACAGCAGAUUGUUGUAGGGUGUGGCUGCGUCAUGCCAAAAGAUUUUUCCCUCGUUGCAUUGCAAGGCAGGAUAUUAGGUGUGAUGUAGAUGAAUUGUUGUGGCCAGACAGAGAGGAGAGAUUGGAAGACCCAUGAGGUUGAUGAACUUGCAGCAUAUUUUCUUUUUUCUUGCACAUAUUGUAGUCCCUGAAUUUUGCUGUUGUAUAUAUUUUUUUCUGUACAAGCUUUCUUUACGUAUUUUCAGUUGGCUGUAAAGUGUGUACAUACAAUGAUGAGAAAUGUUUGAAUAAAUGUUUUGUUGAAAGUAUGGUGUGUGCCAUGACUUUUUGACAUCAGUACUAUUCAGCUGUCUAUAUAUACAAUGUUAGCAAUUGGACAAUAUUACAUAGUGGGUAACUAUCACACUUUCAGAGUACACUGUCAUUUGACAAGAUGUCUUUGCAUUUUGACUGUCUUGGUCUAAACAAUGAUAAAGGAACCUUUUGUUUUGAUGACAAUGAUUUAUUCUUUGAUGGAUUUCUUUACAUUUGAAAUAUGAGUUAAUUAUUUUGAGUAAUCGCCUUUUGCAGGUCACAAAGAGUGGUGUGCUGAAUGUACCACAUGAUGUGAGGAUUGUACUUAGAGUUUUGACAACUGUAACUUUGUUUCAGUAAAUGUGCCAAAUCGAUUGAGAAAAACUGUAAUAACGUGAAAAAUUAUUUCAAUUUGAAAAAAAUGUUCAGAACUUAAACUACAAAGAGUUCACAUCAGAAAAUCCUCCACAUGCAGCAAUGACAGCUUUGCAGAUCCUUGACAUUUUAGCUGUCAGUUUGUCCAGAUACUCAGGUGACAUUUCACCCCACGCUUCCUGUAGCACUUGCCAUAGAUGUGGCUGUCUUGUCGGGCACGUCACACGUGCCUUACAGUCUAGCUGAUCCCACAAAAGCUCAAUGGGGUUAAGAUCCAUAACACUCUUUUCCAAUUAUCUGUUGUCCAAUGUUUCUUUGCCCACUCUAACCUUUUCUUUUUGUUUUCUGUUUGAAAAGUGGCUUUUUCUUUGCAAUUCUUCUCAUAAGGCCUGCACCCCUGAGUCUUCUCUUUACUGUUGUACAUGAAACUGGUGUUGAGUGGGUAGAAUUCAAUGAAGCUGACGACAUGUGAGGCAUCUAUCUCUCAAACUUUAGUCUCUGAUGUACUUACCCUCUUGUUUAGUUGUACAUCUGGGCCUUCCACAUCUAUUUCUGUCCUUGU